GACCUCGGGGGAACGGCCCCUUCGCCCAGGGACUGCACGCUCUGCAUGCCAGGCUCCACCCGGGCUCUGGGCCCUGCACCCAGGCCCCUGCGGCAGCCAUGCCUCAAAAUGCCUCAGGCGGAAGGGGGCCAGGGGCUGGUUCCUCCCCACCUGUGUCACACGUGCCCCUAACUCGCCUGCCUCAGACCAUGAGAUUUAGGUUGUCACCAAGAUCCACUUCACAGCCCGGCACUCUGCUCUUGGAGCCACUGCACGGCAGGUUCUAUGCCACGGACCCUGGAACCUCCAGGGCUGGGCACUGUCACACCCCACACGAGAGACCCCCAGUGUCUCCCGGGGCUGCAGCCUUGGGGCAGGCAGGCAGGGACCUCUUUGUCCCGAUGUCCACAAUGUCACUGAGAACCGAGAACAAAUCUUCAUUGUCGCGGCACUCAGGAGGCAACAGCAGCCAGUGGUUGGUGCUGCCCAGCCCUGCAGCAGAGCUGGGGAGGCCGGAGCCCGGGGCACUCCUUAGGCCUCCACAUUGGCCAGGUGAGCAAAGUGUCCCCGACACUGGCUGUCGUUCUCACAGCACCCACACCUGAGCUCCACGCUGCACCUCACACCACCUGCUCUUCCCGCCGGAACCUCGGGCGAGGAGGAGGAAGGCCAAGGCCGUAGGACGAAGGCUGCGGAGUCCAGACCGGUCCUUCACCAGUCUCAAGAACUGCAGGGCCCAGUAAGAACAGGGCCUGGUGUGGUGCCUCUGUCCGCAGCUGUGUGCCGGGGGCUCCAGGCUCCACUAUAGCAUGAAGCCAAGGGGACUUGACGGAGCUGCAGCCUCCGAACCUCCAGGGACCUCAUGGAAGGGCUUGGCCCCUCUGCCAGGGUGGCCGUGUCCUCAGGCCUCUGCCCCAAACACAAGAGGGGCCACAGCCCCUUCAGGUAGAGGAUGCUUUCCCUGGUCCUGUAGGCCCCGGGCCCCGGGCCCCAGGCAAGGUGUUGCCGAGGGGCUGACCCAGCCACUGUGGCCAGGGAAUGGUUUGGGAGGAGGAGAUGAGGUCACGGGAGUAACGGGGACAGGAGACUGGGGCCCUGUGGGCCGCCGCCACAGGACCAGGCUUUGCAGUCCGAGAUGGGAAGCCAUGGCCGGGGGAGCUGGAGCAUGGAGCUAAGCGCUGGUUCAGAUGGAGGAAGAGGAACGUGAUCGGCCCAAUUGCUUUCAUCAAGUAGAAAAGCAGACAAUACAUGGAGCAGCAACUUCCAGACAUGGGCAGCAGAGCGCACAGGAACCACGUCGGCUGUGAUCCAGUAGAGAAGCAGUGUUUGAUGACGCAAGAGAAAGCAGAGGGUGACUGCAGCGAGGUCCCCAGAGCCGCCAGGGGCGACGGCACCUAGAGCGGCAGUGGAGUGGAGGGGACGACCCUGGAAUCACCUACAAAGGGCAGAGCACCGGAUUACGUGACCCAGAGCUGCGCGUGGGGGAAGGGCCUGGGCCCCGGCCACGUCCUGUCCCCUGUGCCCUGAAGCACUGCUUUGAAGA